AUUGAACGCUGGCGGCAUGCUUUACACAUGCAAGUCGAACGGUAACAGGCCGCAAGGUGCUGACGAGUGGCGAACGGGUGAGUAAUGCAUCGGAACGUGCCCAGUCGUGGGGGAUAACUGCUCGAAAGAGCAGCUAAUACCGCAUACGAUCUAUGGAUGAAAGCGGGGGACCGUAAGGCCUCGCGCGAUUGGAGCGGCCGAUGUCAGAUUAGGGAGUUGGGGGGGUAAAGGCUCACCAAGCCAACGAUCUGUAGCUGGUCUGAGAGGACGACCAGCCACACUGGGACUGAGACACGGCCCAGACUCCUACGGGAGGCAGCAGUGGGGAAUUUUGGACAAUGGGGGCAACCCUGAUCCAGCAAUGCCGCGUGCAGGAAGAAGGCCUUCGGGUUGUAAACUGCUUUUGUACGGAACGAAACGGUCUGGGUUAAUACCCUGGGCUAAUGACGGUACCGUAAGAAUAAGCACCGGCUAACUACGUGCCAGCAGCCGCGGUAAUAC
rnacentral:rRNA from 1 species